rnacentral:lncRNA from 1 species
UUGGAUUCAAAGAAUUGUUCAUGUAUGGAUUUUCUAUAAUAAAAAAUCAAUGUAUCGAACUAUAAUGGUAAAUAAAUUGGCAUAAUAAGAUUUCGAUUUUAUUCCUUAUAUAAUUAGUGGCUUUAAAUUAUUGAAACAAUAUAACUUCAAUUUCUAAGUUACCAGUGCUUUCCAAACUGUCGAAUAUAUGUAGCUUAAUUUUCACAUGCACAUGUGUACAUAACUAUAAAUCCUAUAAAUUGCGUAUUCGUGAAAGGAUUUUUUUUUUUUUUCAGAGAUUAAUUUGUUGAACAAAACGGUAACUAAAUUGACAUAUUUUGUUUCAUGCCAUAAAUAACUUGGCAACCUAAACGAGUACAACUUGCAAUUAAAGUAUAUAUGACUCCAAGGACGGCGUUGUUUGUUGGUAAGUAAGUAUGAACUUUAGUAAAUCUGUGAUGGAACCACGGUAGAUUGGAAUUUCGAUUUCUCAAUAUUAUCUUACUGAAACUAAGGCCAGAAUCAAAUCCCAAUAUAUUAUCGAAUUAAUGGACCUUGAUGGUACAUUUUUAAAAAUACAAAAACGCUACGUUGCCGAAUUCGUUUACCAAUUAUUUGGAUGCGAAAGAGAUACUAGUUUUUUUAAAACAGAGUUAUGUGGUGAUAAAAUAAAAUAAAAAUGACAACCAAAGAGAUAUUGUUUCUAAAAACUUUAAUUCUUUCCUAUUAUUCGGUGGAUCGAACUCGAAAUAAGUACAAAAUAAUCAUAUUUAGCACACACUAAAGAAAUUAGUAAUAGUUACUUGUUUUAAGAUUCAGAACUACGUGCUUGAGACUAAAAUAUACAAUUAUUUUAUAUUAGUUAACUUCGUUGUAAUCCUUAUCUGUACAACUUUAUAUGUUUUUCAAGUGAUUAAAAGAGGUCAUUCAGAACCAUCACUUAUAUAUUUGCCUUAUUUACUACAACAGUUUGAGAAUAGAAGACUAUUUCUUAUAAACUUUUGAAUUUCAUGUUGUCGCCUAAUUAGCGAAAAUUGUUAGGUGUUACACUAUUUCAAUUGCCUUUUUUUCGUUGUGUUCGGUAAUUUAGAAUCACUUCACUGUUUGCUCGUGUACCACACCUUUAUCAUCACAGUAUUAUGAAAUAUAAAAAAAUUCAAACCAAGUAAGCUAUAAGUAAAAAAAUUCUUUACUAGUUUAUUUAAAACAGAGUUAUGUGGUGAUAAAAUAAAAUAAAAAUGACAACCAAAGAGAUAUUGUUUUUGAAAACUUUAAUUCUUUCGUGUUAUUCAGUGGAUCGAACACGAAAUUAGUAAGAAAUAAUCAUAUUUCGCACACACUAAAGAAAUUAGUAAUAUUUACUUGUUUUGAGAUUCAGAACUACGUGCUUGAAACUAAAAUAUACAAUUAUUUUAUAUUAGUUAACUUCGUUGUAAUCCUUAUCUGUACAACUUUAUCUGUUUUUCAAGUGAUUAAAAGAGGUCAUUCAGAACCAUCACUUAUAUUUGCCAUAUUUACUACAACAGUUUGAGAAUAGAAGACUAUUACUUAUAAACUUUUGAAUUUCAUGUCGUCGCCUAAUUAGCGAAAAUUGUUUGGUGUUAUAGUAUUUCAAUUACUUUUUUUCGUUGUGUUCGGUAAUUUAGAAUCACUUCACUUUUUGCUCGUGUACCACACCUUUAUCGUCACAGUAUUAUGAAAUAAAAAAAAAUUCAAACCACUUAAACUGUAAGUAAGGAGGUGAUGUUAUUUAUUAUCCGUUCAAACAUUUAACGAACAUAUUGGGAGAACAUAAGAUUUUUGGUGCACGUCAUAAGUAUAUGCUAUAUAUUGAUGUAUCAAGUAGCACUGAUUAUGGCAUUUCCUUCUGUGCUUGUGGAUGUGUAGAGAUGUCUUGAAGAAUGAACUUCAAUAUUUUAUCUGGCGGACACUUACACCAAUUCUCGACGCAUGUGCAUGGGCCGCAUAGAGCAGAUGUUUGGCACGGAUAACGAGUAACUGGACCUCUUGCUUCGGCUCCAAAUUGCACACCUAUCACAAUUAAUAUUUCCAUAAUUCAUAAUAAAACUGCUUCUUGCCUUUAUUGUGAAUAUACUGCUUUAUGCAUAAGUUUACGUUACAAAAAUAUACACUUAAACUUGACUUUAUGGCUGAAAAUAUCGACAAUUGUUAGGUUAAAGUAUAUAAUUUUAACGAGUUAUCAAGGACAUAUACACAAUUUCAAAAUAAGUGAAGUCAACCAGGUUGGAGAAAAAAAUUCCUAUAUGCAGUUUUAUUGUUCAAAGAAGUCAGCCCCUGAGGUUAGCCUAGGUUGUUAGGAUUAACGUUCGGACUAUAUUAUGUCAAGAAUAAAUUUCUCUUUCAUUGUAACAAAAAUAAAAAUUGAGGGAAGUAUUUUACCAUUAUAUGAAACAAGAAGGAGCACAAUGAGGAAAGCUGACUUGAAUGAACCUUUCUCCAUAUCUAUUCAAUAUGUUGAAGGCAAGGAAGGAUUAUAGGUUUGUAUGUGGUAUAAAACUUGAAUUCGGAGUCACUAGUUUUUAAAAAGACUACAAUAUAUAUAGGUGAAUUUGAAAACUAUGUUCUAUGAUUGCACAUCUCGGUGACGUUGGAUUCAACGAAUUGUUCAUGCAUGAAUUUUGUAAACAAAUCAAUUUAUCGAACUAUAAUGGUAAAUAAGUUAUGAUAGUAUGAUUGCGAUUUGAUGCCUAGUAUAAUUAGGUGCAUAUUCAAGCCAUAUAGCUUAAUUUCUAACUUAUUUGUGCUCUCCAAACCUAAGAUUGUAUGUAACUUAUUUUUUGUAAAUGCAUGUUUAGAAAUGGUAAGUUAAAUAAAUUGUGUAUUCAUGAAAGGAAAAAUUAUUUUAAGAGAUGAAUUUGUUCGACCAGAACGGUAACUAAAUUAGCAUAUUAGGUUUCAAGCCAAAACAAGUACGACCUUAAUUCAAAGUAUAUAUAUAUAUAUUUUUUAUUAAUGGCUUUAUUUGCUGUACAAAAGUAUGACUUUAAGCAACGCCAUGACGAGUGCAUUGGAUUCAAAGAAUUGUUCAUGUAUGGAUUUUCUAUAAUAAAAAAUCAAUGUAUCGAACUAUAAUGGUAAAUAAAUUGGCAUAAUAAGAUUUCGAUUUUAUUCCUUAUAUAAUUAGUGGCUUGAAAUUAUUGAAACAAUAUAACUUAAAUUUCUAAGUUACCAGUGCUUUCCAAACUGUCGAAUAUAUGUAACUUAAUUUUCACAUGUACAUGUGUACAUAACUAUAAAUCCUAUAAAUUGCGUAUUCGUGAAUGGAUUUUUUUUUUCCAGAGAUUAAUUUGUUGAACAAAACGGUAACUAAAUUGACAUAUUAUGUUUCAUGCCAUAAAUAACUUGGCAACCUAAACGAGUACAACUUGCAAUUAUUGACUCCAAGGACGGCGUUCUUUGUUGGUACGUAAGUAUGAACUUUAGUAAAUCUGUGAUGAAACCACGGUAGGUUGGAAUUUCGAUUUCUCAAUAUUAUGUUACUGAAACUAAGGCCAGAAUCAAAUCCCAAUAUAUUAUCGAAUUAAUGGACCUUGAUGGUACAUUUUUUAAAAUACAAAAACUCUACGUUGCCGAACUCGUUUACCAAUUUUUUGUGUGCGAAAGAGAUACUAGUUUUUUUAAAACAGAGUUAUGUGGUGAUAAAAUAAAAUAAAAAUGACAACAAAGACAUAUUGUUUUUUAAAACUUUAAUUCUUUCAUGUUAUUCGGUGGAUCGAACACGAAAUUAGUAAGAAAUAAUCAUAUUUAGCACACACUUAAGAAAGAAUUUUAUAUUCGUUAACUUCGUUGUAAUCCUUAUCUGUGCAACUUUAUCUGUUUUUCAGGUGAUUAAAAGAGGUCAUUCAGAACCAUCACUUGUAUUUGCCAUAUUUACUACAACAGUUUGAGAAUAGAAGACUAUUACUUAUAAACUUUUGAAUUUCAUGUUGUCGCCGAAUUAGCGAAAAUUGUUUGGUGUUACACUAUUUCAAUUACUUUUUUUCGUUGUGUUCGGUAAUUUAGAAUCACUUCACUGUUUGCUCGUGUACCACACCUUUAUCAUCACAGUAUUAUGAAAUAUAAAAAAAUUCAAACCAAGUAAGCCAUAAGUAAGAAGGUGAUGUUAUUUAUUAUCCACUCAAACAUUUAACGAACAUAUUGGGAGAACAUAAGAUUUUUGGUGCACUUCAUAAGUAUAUGCUAUAUAUUGAUGUAUCAAGUAGCGCUGAUUAUGGCAUUUCCUUCUGUGCUUGCGGGUGUGUAGAGAUGUCUUGAAGAAUGAACUUCGAUAUUUUAUCUGGCGGACACUUACACCAAUUCUCGACGCAUGUGCAUGGGCCGCAUAGAGCAGAUGUUUGGCACGGAUAACGAGUAACUGGACCUCUUGCUUCGGCUCCAAAUUGCACACCUACCACAAUUAAUAUUUCCAUAAUUCAUAAUAAAACUGUUUUUUGCCUUUAUUUUGAACAUACUGCUUUAUGCAUAAGUUUACGUUACAAAAAUAUACACUUAAACUCGACUUUAUGGCUGAAAAUAUCGACAAUUGUUAGGUUAAAGUAUAUAAUUUUAACGAUGUAUCAAAGACAUAUACACAUUUUCAAAAUAAGUGAGGUCAACCAGGUUGGAGCAAAAAAUUCCAAUAUGCAGUUGUAUUGUUCAAAGAAGUCAGCCCCAGAGGUUAGCCUAGGUUGUUAGGAUUAACGUUCGGAUUAUAGUAUGUCAAGAAUAAAUUUCUCUUUCAUUGUCACAAAAAUAAAAAUUGAGAGAAGUAUUUUACCAUUAUAUGAAACAAGAAGGAGCACAAUGAGGAAAGCUAACUUGAAUGAACCUUUCUCCAUAUCUAUUCAAUUUGUUGAAGGCAAGGAAGGAUUAUGGGUUUGUACGUGGUAUAAAACUUGAAUUCGGAGUCACUAGUUUUUAAAAAGACUACAAUAUAUAUAGGUGAAUUUGAAAACUAUUUUCUAUGAUUGCACAUCUCGGUGAGGUUGGAUUCAACGAAUUGUUCAUGCAUGAAUUUUGUAAACAAAUCAAUUUAUCGAACUAUAAUGGUAAAUAAGUUAUGAUAAUAAGAUUGCGAUUUGAUGCCUAGUAUUAUUAGGUGCAUAUUCAAGCUAUAUAGCUUAAUUUCUAACCUAUUCGUGCUCUCCAAACCUAACAUUAUAUGUAACUUAUUUUUUGUAAAUGCAUGUUUAGAAAUGAUAAGUUAAAUAAAUUGUGUAUGCAUGAAAGGAAAUAUUAUUUUAAGAGAUGAUUUUGUUCGACUAGAAUGGUAACUAAAUUUGCAUAUUAGGUUUCAAGCCAAUACAAGUACGACCUUAAUUCAAAGUAUAUAUAUUUUAUUAUUGGCGAUAUUUGCUGUACAAAAGUAUGACUUUAAGCAAUGCCAUGAUGAGCGCAUUGGAUUCAAAGAAUUGUUCAUGUAUGGAUUUUCUAUGAUAAAAAAUCAAUGUAUCGAACUAUAAUGGUAAAUAAAUUGGCAUAAUAAGAUUUCGAUUUUAUUCCUUAUAUAAUUAGUGGCUUUAAAUUAUUGAAACAAUAUAACUUCAAUUUCUAAGUUACCAGUGCUUUCCAAAUUGUCGAAUAUAUGUAGCUUAAUUUUCACAUGCACAUGUGUACAUAACUAUAAAUCCUAUAAAUUGCGUAUUCGUGAAAGGAUUUUUUUUUUUUUUUUCAGAGAUUAAUUUGUUGAACAAAACGGUAACUAAAUUGACAUAUUUUGUUUCAUGCCAUAAAUAACUUGGCAACCUAAACGAGUAAAACUUGCAAUUAAAGUAUAUAUGACUCCACGGACGGCGUUGUUUGUUGGUACGUAAGUAUGAACUUUAGUAAAUCUGUGAUGGAACCACGGUAGAUUGGAAUUUCGAUUUCUCAAUAUUAUCUUACUGAAACUAAG